GACGAACGCUGGCGGCGUGCUUAACACAUGCAAGUCGAACGGAAAGGCCCUGCUUUUGUGGGGUGCUCGAGUGGCGAACGGGUGAGUAACACGUGAGUAACCUGCCCUUGACUUUGGGAUAACUUCAGGAAACUGGGGCUAAUACCGGAUAGGAGCUCCUGCUGCAUGGUGGGGGUUGGAAAGUUUCGGCGGUUGGGGAUGGACUCGCGGCUUAUCAGCUUGUUGGUGGGGUAGUGGCUUACCAAGGCUUUGACGGGUAGCCGGCCUGAGAGGGUGACCGGCCACAUUGGGACUGAGAUACGGCCCGGACUCCUACGGGAGGCAGCAGUGGGGAAUAGUGCGCAAUGGGCGGAAGCCUGAUGCAGCGACGCCGCGUGCGGGAUGACGGCCUUCGGGUUGUAAACCGCGUUCGCCUGUGACGAAGCGUGAGUGACGGUAAUGGGUAAAGAAGCACCGGCUAACUACGUG
rnacentral:rRNA from 1 species